rnacentral:rRNA from 1 species
GUGGGGAAUAUUGCACAAUGGGCGAAAGCCUGAUGCAGCAACGCCGCGUGAGGGACGACGGCCUUCGGGUUGUAAACCUCUUUUAGUAGGGAAGAAGCGAAAGUGACGGUACCUGCAGAAAAAGCACCGGCUAACUACGUGCCAGCAGCCGCGGUAAUACGUAGGGUGCAAGCGUUAUCCGGAAUUAUUGGGCGUAAAGAGCUCGUAGGCGGUCUGUCGCGUCUGCUGUGAAAACUGGAGGCUCAACCUCCAGCCUGCAGUGGGUACGGGCAGACUAGAGUGCGGUAGGGGAGAUUGGAAUUCCUGGUGUAGCGGUGGAAUGCGCAGAUAUCAGGAGGAACACCGAUGGCGAAGGCAGAUCUCUGGGCCGUAACUGACGCUGAGGAGCGAAAGCGUGGGGAGCGAACAGGAUUAGAAACCCGGGUAGUC